AAAAGGGCGUGCACGUGGUACCCUCCGUCAGAGACUGGCGCUUGCGGGUGAGAGUGAGGCUGGGGAGCGACCAUGGCGUCGCUGAAUAGUAGCGCUGUCGUCUGCGUGAUUUGCUUGGAGAAACCCAAAUACCGCUGCCCCGCCUGCCGUGUGCCCUAAGCAGUACAACUCUAAAACUCUUAUUGAGAAAAAAAGAUCAGCUGUUACUGCAAAAACUAUAAAGCCUGCAGAAGACAAAGGUGGGUUGGUUGAUUUCAAACCAGCCAACCUAGGAAAAGGUUUCAGAUGAUGAUGACUCUAUAGAUGAUUUUCUCAAUAGUGAUGAGGAAGAGGACAGUUUCUUUGCAGAAUUUAAAGAAUUUAGGUAAGU